AUCGUAUAUGCACUCAAUGUAGUCAUAAGGAUUUUCAUUCUUAUUUCUUUCGAAUUAAGUGGUGCAACUCUAUGACAUAGUCAUAAAGUUCAAACCAUUCAACUGAGACGGUUUAUAAAUCCUUCUCGACUACCUUGGAGCUUUUGGUAUAGGAGCUAGGUUGUUAUAUUUGUUGAUUACUUUCUUGUCUCUCAAAGAACCCAUUCUUUGAGUUCUAUCUCUCGUU
rnacentral:lncRNA from 1 species